CCCUUAGAGUUUGAUCCUGGCUCAGAGCGAACGUUAGCGGCAGGCUUAACACAUGCAAGUCGAGCGAGAAUUAGGGCUUCGGCCCUAUAGUAAAGCGGCGGACGGGUGAGUAACACGUGGGUAAUCUGCCCUCUGGAAGGGGACAACCACUCGAAAGGGUGGCUAAUACCGUAUACGUCGGCCGGUUCUGCGGAACUGGUCGGGAAAGCAGGCUUCGGCUUGCGCCAGAGGAGGAGCCCGCGUCGCAUCAGCUAGUUGGUGGGGUAACGGCCUACCAAGGCGAAGACGCGUAGCUGGUCUGAGAGGAUGAUCAGCCACACUGGGACUGAGACACGGCCCAGACUCCUACGGGAGGCAGCAGUGGGGAAUAUUGGACAAUGGGGGCAACCCUGAUCCAGCCAUGCCGCGUGAGUGAUGAAGGCCUUCGGGUCGUAAAGCUCUGUGGGGAGCCACGAAACCACGCUGGCUAAUAUCCAGCGUGCUGACGGUAGCUCCUUAGCAAGCACCGGCUAACUCCGUGCCAGCAGCCGCGGUAAUACGGAGGGUGCAAACGUUGCUCGGAAUCAUUGGGCGUAAAGCGCACGUAGGCGGUCUCGAAAGUCAGAUGUGAAAUCCCUCGGCUUAACCAAGGAAGUGCAUUUGAAACUUCGAGACUUGAUAUUUGGAGAGGGUCGCAGAAUUCUCGGGUGUAGAGGUGAAAUUCGUAGAUAUCGGGAGGAAUACAAGUGGCGAAGCGGCGACCUGGCCAAUAUUGACGCUGAGU
rnacentral:rRNA from 1 species